rnacentral:rRNA from 1 species
GAUGAACGCUAGCGAUAGGCUUAACUCAUGCAAGUCGAGGGGUAACGUGUUGGAAGCUUGCUUCCGAUGACGACGACCGGCGGAUGGGUGCGUAACGCGUAUGCAACUUGCCUCACAGUGGAGAAUAACCCGGAGAAAUCCGGACUAAUACUCCAUACACUCUUAAGUACACCUGUACAUGAGAGGAAAGAUUUAUCGCUGUGAGAUAGGCAUGCGUCCUAUUAGGUAGUUGGUGAGGUAACGGCUCACCAAGCCGACGAUAGGUAGGGGUGCUGAGAGGCAGAUCCCCCACAUUGGGACUGAGACACGGCCCAAACUCCUACGGGAGGCAGCAGUGAGGAAUAUUGGUCAAUGGAGGAAACUCUGAACCAGCCAAGUCGCGUGAAGGAAGAAUGUCCUAAGGAUUGUAAACUUCUUUAGCGAGCGAGUAAGGACUUCCACGUGAUGGGAGUUUGAAAGUAGCUCGAGAAUAAGUAUCGGCUAACUCCGUGCCAGCAGCCGCGGUAAUACGGAGGAUACGAGCGUUAUCCGGAUUUAUUGGGUUUAAAGGGUGCGCAGUGGUCUUGCAAGUCAGUGGUGAAAAGCUGAGGCUCAUCCUCAGCCUUGCCGUUGAAACUGUAAGACUUGAGAGUACAUGAUGUGGGCGGAAUGCGUAGUGUAGCGGUGAAAUGCAUAGAUAUUACGCAGAACUCCGAUUGCGAAGGCAGCUCACAAAGGUAUAUCUGACACUGAGGCACGAAAGCGUGGGGAGCGAACAGGAUUAGAUACCCUGGUAGUCCACGCCGUAAACGAUGAUUACUCGAAGUAUGCGAUAUGACAGUAUGCUUCCAAGCGAAAGUGAUAAGUAAUCCACCUGGGGAGUACGCCGGCAACGGUGAAACUCAAAGGAAUUGACGGGGGCCCGCACAAGCGGAGGAACAUGUGGUUUAAUUCGAUGAUACGCGAGGAACCUUACCCGGGAUUGAAAUGUAUGUGAGCCUUUUGGGAAACCGAGAGGGUUCUCUUCGGAGACACAUAUGUAGGUGCUGCAUGGUUGUCGUCAGCUCGUGCCGUGAGGUGUCGGCUUAAGUGCCAUAACGAGCGCAACCCUUAUCGUCAGUUACUAACAGGUAAUGCUGAGGACUCUGGCGAGACUGCCGUCGUAAGGCGAGAGGAAGGUGGGGAUGACGUCAAAUCAGCACGGCCCUUACAUCCGGGGCGACACACGUGUUACAAUGGUAGGGACAGAGAGUAGCCACUCGGUGACGAGGAGCGGAUCUCGAAACCCUAUCUCAGUUCGGAUCGAAGUCUGCAACUCGACUUCGUGAAGCCGGAUUCGCUAGUAAUCGCGCAUCAGCCAUGGCGCGGUGAAUACGUUCCCGGGCCU